GAGGAGUUCGCGCCUGAUUAGCUAGUUGGUGAGGUAACGGCCCACCAAGGCAACGAUCAGUAGCCGGCCUGAGAGGGCGUACGGCCACACUGGAACUGAGACACGGUCCAGACUCCUACGGGAGGCAGCAGUGGGGAAUUUUGCGCAAUGGGCGAAAGCCUGACGCAGCAACGCCGCGUGGAGGAUGAAGGCCUUCGGGUCGUAAACUCCUGUCAGUGGGGACGAAUGCUUCGAAAGAAGCUUGACUGUACCCGCUGAGGAAGCCACGGCUAACUCCGUGCCAGCAGCCGCGGUAAUACGGAGGUGGCAAGCGUUGUUCGGAAUUAUUGGGCGUAAAGGGCGCGUAGGCGGCUUGGCAAGUCAGAUGUGAAAGCCCCGAGCUUAACUCGGGAAUUGCAUCUGAAACUGCUUUGCUUGAGUCCUGGAGGGGGUAGUGGAAUUCCCAGUGUAGCGGUGAAAUGCGUAGAUAUUGGGAGGAACACCGGCGGCGAAGGCGGCUACCUGGACAGUGACUGACGCUGAUGCGCGAAAGCUAGGGGAGCGAACGGGAUUAGAU
rnacentral:rRNA from 1 species